rnacentral:rRNA from 1 species
CAGCAGCAGCCACGGGAAUACGUAGGUGGCAAGCGUUGUCCGGGAUUAUUGGGCGUAAAGGGCUCGCAGGCGGUUUCUUAAGUCUGAUGUGAAAGCCCCCGGCUCAACCGGGGAGGGUCAUUGGAAACUGGGAAACUUGAGUGCAGAAGAGGAGAGUGGAAUUCCACGUGUAGCGGUGAAAUGCGUAGAGAUGUGGAGGAACACCAGUGGCGAAGGCGACUCUCUGGUCUGUAACUGACGCUGAGGAGCGAAAGCGUGGGGAGCGAACAGGAUUAGAUACCCCCGUAGUCCCUGUCUCUUAUAC